UACGUAGGGGGCAAGCGUUGUCCGGAUUCAUUGGGCGUAAAGAGCGUGUAGGCGGCCAGGUAGGUCGGUUGUGAAAACUGGAGGCUCAACCUUCAGAGGUCGACCGAAACCAUCUGGCUAGAGUCCGGGAGAGGAGAGUGGAAUUCCUGGUGUAGCGGUGAAAUGCGCAGAUAUCAGGAGGAACACCGGUGGCGAAGGCGGCAUCCUGGACCGGCAUUGACGCUGAGGCGCGAAAGCCAGGGGAGCAAACGGG
rnacentral:rRNA from 1 species